rnacentral:rRNA from 1 species
AUUGACCGCUAGCGGGAUGCUUUACACCUGCAAGUCGAACGAGUGGCGGACGGGUGAGUAGUAUAUCGGAACGUGGCCAGUAGCGGGGGAUAACUGAUCGAAAGAAUGGCUAAUACCGCAUACUAUGUGAGCGGCCGACAUGGGAUUCGCUAGUUGGUGGGGGAAAGGCUCACGAAGGCAACGAUCCGUAGCUGGGUUGAGAGUAAGACCAGCCACACGGGGACUGAGACACGGCCCAGACUCCUCCGGGAGGCAGCAGUGGGGAAUCUUGGACAAUGGGGGAAACCCUGAUCCAGCCAUCCCGCGUGUAUGAGAAGGCCUUCGGGUUGUAAAGUACUUUUGGCAGAGAAGCGGUAUCUGCAGAAUAAGCACCGGCUAACUACGUGCCAGCAGCCGCGGUAAUAC